UUGUACUGGAUCUAUCGAUGAUCAUACAAAUGUGAUACCGAGAUGGUCCAUCUUAUCACAAGGUGACCAGCUUCAUGUUAGUUUCUGCCCGUAUAUCAGUCACAUGACCCAUGGACAGAUGUAUAAUAUAACACUGUAAUAUGUCUGCUGUACAGUAAUGUGACUAAGCUUUGUUAUACUGCCUGUAUAAGCUUUGGUGUAUGAAAUAUAAGCUUUGGUGUAUAAAAUAUAAGCUUGUGGUAUAAGACAUAAACUUUGGUAUAUGUAAUAUAAGCUUUGGUAUAUGUAAUAUAAGCUUUGGUAUAUGUAAUAUAAGCUUUGGUAUAUGUAAUAUAAGCUUUGGUGUAUGUAAUAUAAGCUUUGGUAUAUGAAAUAUAAGCUUUGGUAUAUGUAAUAUAAGCUUUGGUAUAUGUAAUGUAAGCUUUGGUAUCUGUAAUAUACGCUUUGCUUUUUGCAUGCAAUAUGCAUUCAAGUACAACGUGAGGUGCAACGAACUUCAUAAACGUAAAGUCAUAUUUCUGUAUAGAUGCAGGCAAAGUUUUAUACGUUUCAAUGCCAUUGUAGUACAUUCCUUUUGUCCUUGUCAGUAAAAUGUAUUCAAAUCACAA